UGGGGCGUGCUAUACAUGCAGUCGAACGAACUCUGGUAUUGAUUGGUGCUUGCAUCAUGAUUUACAUUUGAGUGAGUGGCGAACUGGUGAGUAACACGUGGGAAACCUGCCCAGAAGCGGGGGAUAACACCUGGAAACAGAUGCUAAUACCGCAUAACAACUUGGACCGCAUGGUCCGAGCUUGAAAGAUGGCUUCGGCUAUCACUUUUGGAUGGUCCCGCGGCGUAUUAGCUAGAUGGUGGGGUAACGGCUCACCAUGGCAAUGAUACGUAGCCGACCUGAGAGGGUAAUCGGCCACAUUGGGACUGAGACACGGCCCAAACUCCUACGGGAGGCAGCAGUAGGGAAUCUUCCACAAUGGACGAAAGUCUGAUGGAGCAACGCCGCGUGAGUGAAGAAGGGUUUCGGCUCGUAAAACUCUGUUGUUAAAGAAGAACAUAUCUGAGAGUAACUGUUCAGGUAUUGACGGUAUUUAACCAGAAAGCCACGGCUAACUACGUGCCAGCAGCCGCGGUAAUACGUAGGUGGCAAGCGUUGUCCGGAUUUAUUGGGCGUAAAGCGAGCGCAGGCGGUUUUUUAAGUCUGAUGUGAAAGCCUUCGGCUCAACCGAAGAAGUGCAUCGGAAACUGGGAAACUUGAGUGCAGAAGAGGACAGUGGAACUCCAUGUGUAGCGGUGAAAUGCGUAGAUAUAUGGAAGAACACCAGUGGCGAAGGCGGCUGUCUGGUCUGUAACUGACGCUGAGGCUCGAAAGUAUGGGUAGCAAACAGGAUUAGAUACCCUGGUAGUCCAUACCGUAAACGAUGAAUGCUAAGUGUUGGAGGGUUUCCGCCCUUCAGUGCUGCAGCUAACGCAUUAAGCAUUCCGCCUGGGGAGUACGGCCGCAAGGCUGAAACUCAAAGGAAUUGACGGGGGCCCGCACAAGCGGUGGAGCAUGUGGUUUAAUUCGAAGCUACGCGAAGAACCUUACCAGGUCUUGACAUACUAUGCAAAUCUAAGAGAUUAGACGUUCCCUUCGGGGACAUGGAUACAGGUGGUGCAUGGUUGUCGUCAGCUCGUGUCGUGAGAUGUUGGGUUAAGUCCCGCAACGAGCGCAACCCUUAUUAUCAGUUGCCAGCAUUAAGUUGGGCACUCUGGUGAGACUGCCGGUGACAAACCGGAGGAAGGUGGGGAUGACGUCAAAUCAUCAUGCCCCUUAUGACCUGGGCUACACACGUGCUACAAUGGAUGGUACAACGAGUUGCGAACUCGCGAGAGUAAGCUAAUCUCUUAAAGCCAUUCUCAGUUCGGAUUGUAGGCUGCAACUCGCCUACAUGAAGUCGGAAUCGCUAGUAAUCGCGGAUCAGCAUGCCGCGGUGAAUACGUUCCCGGGCCUUGUACACACCGCCCGU
rnacentral:rRNA from 2 species